rnacentral:rRNA from 1 species
GAUGAACGCUGGCGGCGUGCCUAACACAUGCAAGUCGAGCGAACGGACGAGAAGCUUGCUUCUUUGAUGUUAGCGGCGGACGGGUGAGUAACACGUGUAUAACCUACCUAUCAGACUGGGAUAACUUCGGGAAACCGGAGAUAAUACCGGAUGAUAUCUUGAACCGCAUGGUUCAAAAGAGAAAGACGGUCUUGCUGUCACUUAUAGAUGGAUCCGCGCUGCAUUAGCUAGUUGGUAAGGUAAAGGCCUACCAAGGCAACGAUGCAUAGCCGACCUGAGGGGGUGAUCGGCCACACUGGAGCUGGGACACGGUCCAGACUCCUACGGGAGGCAGCAGUCGGGAAUCUUCCGCAAUGGGCGAAAGCCUGACGGAGCGACGCCGCGUGAGUGAUGAAGGUCUUCGGAUCGUAAAACUCUGUUAUUGGGGAAGAACAUAUGUGUAAGUAACUGUGCACAUCUUGACGGUACCUAGUCAAAAAGCCCCGGCUAACUACGUG